UACUUAGUGGCAGACGGGUGAGUAACAUGUGGGUAUCUACCCUUUGGCCUGGAAUAACACGAGGAAACUUGUGCUAAUACCGGAUAAGUCUUUACGGAGAAAGCUUUAUGCACCAUUGGAUGAGCCCGCACUUGAUUAGUUUGUUGGUAGGGUAAUGGCCUACCAAGACUAUGAUCAAUAGCUGAUUUGAGAGGAUGAUCAGCCACAUUGGGACUGAGACACGGCCCAAACUCCUACGGGAGGCAGCAGUGGGGAAUCUUGCACAAUGGAGGAAACUCUGAUGCAGCGAUGCCGCGUGAGUGAAGAAGGCCUUUGGGUUGUAAAGCUCUUUCGUCGGGGAAGAAAAUGACUGUACCCGAAUAAGAAGGUCCGGCUAACUUCGUGCCAGCAGCCGCGGUAAUACGAAGGGACCUAGCGUAGUUCGGAAUUACUGGGCUUAAAGAGUUCGUAGGUGGUUGAAAAAGUUGGUGGUGAAAUCCCAGAGCUUAACUCUGGAACUGCCAUCAAAACUUUUCAGCUAGAGUAUGAUAGAGGA
rnacentral:rRNA from 1 species